rnacentral:rRNA from 1 species
GACAACAGAAGGAAACUUCUGCUAAUCCCGGAUGAGCCGCAAGGUCAAAGAUUUAUCGCCUAGAGAUGAGCUCGCGUCUGAUUAGCUAGUUGGUGGGGUAAAAGCUUACCAAGGCAACGAUCAGUAGCUGGUCUGAGAGGAUGAUCAGCCACACUGGGACUGAGACACGGCCCAGACUCCUACGGGAGGCAGCAGUGGGGAAUUUUCCGCAAUGGGCGAAAGCCUGACGGAGCAAGACCGCGUGGGGGAGGAAAGCCUUUGGGUUGUAAACCCCUUUUCUCAGGGAAGAAGAAAGUGACGGUACCUGAGGAAUCAGCCUCGGCUAACUCCGUGCCAGCAGCCGCGGUAAUACGGAGGAGGCAAGCGUUAUCCGGAAUGAUUGGGCGUAAAGCGUCCGCAGGUGGCUGGUCAAGUCUGCUGUUAAAUCCAGUAGCUUAACUACUGAGGGGCAGUGGAAACUGACGAGCUAGAGUGCGGUAGGGGCAGAGGGAAUUCCUGGUGUAGCGGUGAAAUGCGUAGAGAUCAGGAAGAACAC